rnacentral:rRNA from 1 species
CACCGCGGUUAGACGAGAGGCCCCAGUUGAUGAUGCUACGGCGUAAAGGGUGGUUAGGGAUCAGAGCCUAAUAAAGCCAAACAGCCCUCCGGCCGUCAUACGCUUCCUGGCACUAGAAGCCCAGCACACGAAAGUAGCUUUAACAACACCCGACUCCACGAAAGCUGAGAAA